rnacentral:rRNA from 1 species
GAAAGCCUGACGGAGCAAGACCGCGUGAGGGAGGAAGGCUCUUGGGUUGUAAACCUCUUUUCUCAGGGAAGAAGCUCUGACGGUACCUGAGGAAUCAGCCUCGGCUAACUCCGUGCCAGCAGCCGCGGUAAUACGGAGGAGGCAAGCGUUAUCCGGAAUUAUUGGGCGUAAAGCGUCCGCAGGUGGCGAUUCAAGUCUGCUGUCAAAGCACGGGGCUUAACUCCGUUAAGGCAGUGGAAACUGAAUAGCUAGAGUGCCGUAGGGGUAGAGGGAAUUCCCGGUGUAGCGGUGAAAUGCGUAGAGAUCGGGAAGAACACCGGUGGCGAAAGCGCUCUGCUGGGCCGCAACUGACACUGAGGGACGAAAGCUAGGGGAGCGAAUGGGAUUAGAUACCCCAGUAGUC